AAGAGCGCUGAGCAGCGGAACCCAGAAUCCUUUUCUCUAAUGUCCACUUUGAAUCUUGCGCCAUUGAGUGUCGCUGUUGUGUCCUAAGCGGUGCGCCCGUAUUCGGUUUCUCGGCCUCUUCGGCUCAGGCUUCGCAGCUGAAGGCCAGACUAUUGUAGGGCUUUGUUUCUCGGGUAUUCUGCCCUAGCGAGGGACAACCCAAGGACAGCGCGUGUGCCCAGAACCUCGCGGUGUCGGGGAAAGCUCGCUGCACGUUGGGGUGGUCCUCCCGAGGCGAGUCUCGCGAAGGGCACUGUCCUGAUAGAGACAGAGGAUGCAGAGGUGCAAUGACUUUCAGACUUGUAUUGAUGAGAUCAGCCUCAGCCAAAUACAGAGUAUCCUGAUUCCAACAUCGUGAUGUCAUUGGUCUUCAGAAAACAAGGAGGAACAAUAGCCUAAG